rnacentral:rRNA from 1 species
AGUGAACGCUGGCGGUAGGCCUAACACAUGCAAGUCGAACGGCAGCACAGUAAGAGCUUGCUCUUACGGGUGGCGAGUGGCGGACGGGUGAGGAAUACAUCGAAAUCUACUUUUUCGUGGGGGAUAACGUAGGGAAACUUACGCUAAUACCGCAUACGACCUACGGGUGAAAGCAGGGGAUCUUCGGACCUUGCGCGAUUGAAUGAGCCGAUGUCGGAUUAGCUAGUUGGCGGGGUAAAGGCCCACCAAGGCGACGAUCCGUAGCUGGUCUGAGAGGAUGAUCAGCCACACUGGAACUGAGACACGGUCCAGACUCCUACGGGAGGCAGCAGUGGGGAAUAUUGGACAAUGGGCGCAAGCCUGAUCCAGCCAUACCGCGUGGGUGAAGAAGGCCUUCGGGUUGUAAAGCCCUUUUGUUGGGAAAGAAAGGCAGCAGGUUAAUACCCCGCUGUUCUGACGGUACCCAAAGAAUAAGCACCGGCUAACUUCGU